GGGGGCGAAUAUGGUUUCGACAUGAAUGUCAAAGUCCUAGGUGCAUGUCGAGGAAGUACAGUACCUCGUAAAUAACAGUACAAAUGCCAAUAAUAACUGGCAAUAAAAAAGCAAAUCGCGUAGUAGCUAACGACAGCAACUUUGCUGCUGUUGCAAAAGCUGCUUAAUCUAGCUUAAUAACCUAGAUACGCACAGAUAUGAUAAGUUAUCUUAUGGACUUAUCUAUACAUCUGUUCAUAUUUUGCAUAAGACGGUUUUUGCUUCCGUCUGAGAGUAAGAGCUGUAUAUAUCAGACUCGCUUACCUCUACCCUGACUAACUGGGGAUAGGUCAAGUCAAACUUUUAAAUAAGUUAGUCUAAGCAUGUAGAUCCAAAGAUAGAGAGUUUAUGGACGCGGGUUCAAAUCCCGCCGCCUCCACCA
rnacentral:tmRNA from 1 species